UUAAAAAGCUCGUAGUCGGAUUUUGGCUGAGAACGGUCGGUCCGCCGUUAGGUGUGCACUGACUGGUCUCAGCUUCCUGGUGAGGAGGUGUGCUUCAUCGCCACUUAGUCACCGUGGUUACUUUGAAAAAAUUAGAGUGUUCAAAGCGGGCUUACGCUUGAAUAUUUCAGCAUGGAAUAACACUAUAGGACUCCUGUCCUAUUUCGUUGGUCUCGGGACGGGAGUAAUGAUUAAGAGGAACAGUUGGGGGCAUUCGUAUUUCAUUGUCAGAGGUGAAAUUCUUGGAUUUAUGAAAGACGAACUUCUGCGAAAGCAUUUGCCAAGGAUGUUUUCAUUAAUCAAGAACGAAAGUUGGGGGCUCGAAGAUGAUUAGAUACCAUCCUAGUCUCAACCAUAAACGAUGCCGACUAGGGAUUGGCGGAUGUUAAUUGAUGACUCCGCCAGCACCUUAUGAGAAAUCAAAGUUUUUGGGUUCCGGGGGGAAUAUGGUCGCAAGGCUGAAACUUAAA
rnacentral:rRNA from 1 species